GUGGGGAAUCUUCCGCAAUGGACGAAAGUCUGACGGAGCAACGCCGCGUGAGUGAUGAAGGUCUUCGGAUUGUAAAGCUCUGUUAAUCGGGACGAAAGAGCCUAGUGUGAAUAAUGCUAGGAAGUGACGGUACCGGAAUAGAAAGCCACGGCUAACUACGUGCCAGCAGCCGCGGUAAUACGUAGGUGGCAAGCGUUGUCCGGAAUUAUUGGGCGUAAAGCGCGCGCAGGCGGAUCUGCCAGUCUGUCUUAAAAGUUCGGGGCUUAACCCCGUGAUGUGAUGGAAACUACAGAUCUAGAGUAUCGGAGAGGAAAGUGGAAUUCCUAGUGUAGCGGUGAAAUGCGUAGAUAUUAGGAAGAACACCAGUGGCGAAGGCGACUUUCUGGACGAAAACUGACGCUGAGGCGCGAAAGCCAGGGGAGCGAACGGGAUUAGAUACCCUGGUAGUCC
rnacentral:rRNA from 1 species